rnacentral:rRNA from 1 species
AGAACGAACGCUGGCGGCAUGCCUAACACAUGCAAGUCGAACGCCUGUAGCAAUACAGGAGUGGCGCACGGGUGAGUAGCGCGUGGGAACCUGCCCUGUUGUGGGGGAUAACCGAGGGAAACUUCGGCUAAUACCGCAUACGCCCCGGGACUUGGUCUUCGGAUUAGGUCUGGGGGGAAAGAUUGAUCGCAGCAGGAGGGGCCCGCGUCGGAUUAGCUGGUUGGUGGGGUAACGGCUCACCAAGGCGAUGAUCCGUAGCUGGUCUGAGAGGAUGAUCAGCCACACUGGGACUGAGACACGGCCCAGACUCCUACGGGAGGCAGCAGUGGGGAAUAUUGGACAAUGGGGGCAACCCUGAUCCAGCAAUGCCGCGUGAGUGAUGAGGCCUUAGGGUUGUAAAGCUCUUUCGCCCGCGACGAUGAUGACGGUAGCGGGAGAAGAAGCCCCGGCUAACUUCGUGCCAGCAGCCGCGGU